AUCCCUGAAUCAUACCAUUCUCCAACUCAAACCCAUGAACAUCAGCGAUGUUCUUCUCUGCUUUCUCAUCUGCUACUCCAAAUCAAAUACCCAUUUCAGAUUCAUCUUUUUUCAUCUCUGAUUCUUCUUCUCGGCAUUGGAUUCGAACAAAACCCUAACCCGUAAACCUAAAACCAUCUCAGAUCCAUCCACUCAUCCAAAUUAGGUGAUUCAAACACAAAUCUGUGCUAUUUGUCGUCUCAAUUCGACAACCCAUUUUACAGUCCUCCCAUACCAGUAAGAACUCAUCAAUCCCCUCUUCACAGUAGCAGCAGGAAGAUGUCUAGGAGAAACUGUUCAUAUGGCAUAUAUGUUAAUGGGUGUUUACGUUUUCCCUCAGCCAGUUGUGGGUUUUAAAUUCAGAGCCAUAUGUGUUUGUGGAAAUGUCAAGGAGAAACUAAGGUGAUUAUUGAACACACAAACAUGAAAAGGAGAUCAGAUUCAGGUGAUUAUUGAACACACAAACAUGAAAAGGAGAUCAGAUUCAUAAACCCAAAAUUUCUAUUUAACACAAAAUUGUUGUUGCUCCUUUUUCUAGAUAGGUAAACCUCAAAUGUUUAUUGUGAACCUGUAUGUGUUUACUAAGAAUAUGUUUGUUUGGACGAACACUCAUAUCAUGAAUGAUAUUUCCUUAAUUUAUAGCAUGAAUAGCAGAACUAAUUUUGAAGGCAAUGCAGUUCUACGGGGCUUUUCUUAUAAUCUUAAAGAUCUUUUUCUAGGUGUACCAUGUGGCAAAUGACAUCCCUGAGGCAAUAUAGAAAUUCUUCUUUACAGUUGGCAGGGUGUGCACUCUAGGAAAUUAGUUCACAGAUAAUGUUAUACAGUUCGCUGCUUCUGAAUCCAUGGUGGCGAAUGGUUUUUGCUUUUGGUUGUACUUGGGUUGGCACUCUCCCUGUUGGGUUAUUGAAGCAACUGAAAACUAAGUAGUUCAAGCUGCAUCCUAACAAAAAUCAAAUAUGACAGGAGGAAAACUCAAGAUCACCCUUCGGGAAGAUUGUAUCUUUGGGAGUGAUUAAUCACCAACGGUGGUUGCUAAUUGCUAUAUCAUCGACCUUUGAUUCUGAAAUGUAAUUCCAAAGCAUGUACACUGUAUGACACAUUAGAGUUUUCUAAUCAGUUAUUUAUGUAUUAUUAUGCGAAAUCCAGUGUAUAUGAAUAUUGAUUUCAGCACUUGGUCUCCUCCACCAUCUAAUCCUUCCUCUAAGAUUAACAUAGCCAUCUCCACAAUUCGCGUCUUGGCUGCCUUAUGUAAUACUGCAUUCCUUCUGCUAUUAGUCAGAGACAAUUUGAUCUCGGCGACAUUAGAAACACUUUUUGUUUGGUAAUAGUAAGGAGUUUAAAAUGUAUUUGACAAGAAAUUGGUUUAAGAAUUCGAAUCUCUUAUGAAUUUUGAAUUUGCAUUUA